rnacentral:lncRNA from 1 species
CAAAACGCGACGUUUUAGUCUCAAACAUCGCACAAAGAUGUUACAAUCCAUGAUGUUUGUCCAAAUGUCGUACAUGAUCCAUUUCAUCAGCGACAUUUCAUAAUAUCGCCAAAUAAUUUAUGUUUUCACGACGUUUCAAUUUUUAAACGUCAUGAAAGAGUAAAGACUCAAAUUCUUAUAGUGGUUGAUUACCCAUGAUCAAGUGUAUCAAGAUAAUGGGCCGUCUGAGA